rnacentral:rRNA from 1 species
AUUACUGGGCGUAAAGCGCACGCAGGCGGUCUGUCAAGUCGGAUGUGAAAUCCCCGGGCUCAACCUGGGAACUGCAUCCGAAACUGGCAGGCUAGAGUCUUGUAGAGGGGGGUAGAAUUCCAGGUGUAGCGGUGAAAUGCGUAGAGAUCUGGAGGAAUACCGGUGGCGAAGGCGGCCCCCUGGACAAAGACUGACGCUCAGGUGCGAAAGCGUGGGGAGCAAACAGGAUUAGAUACCCUGGUAGUCCACGCCGUAAACGAUGUCGACUUGGAGGUUGUGCCCUUGAGGCGUGGCUUCCGGAGCUAACGCGUUAAGUCGACCGCCUGGGGAGUACGGCCGCAAGGUUAAAACUCAAAUGAAUUGACGGGGGCCCGCACAAGCGGUGGAGCAUGUGGUUUAAUUCGAUGCAACGCGAAGAACCUUACCUACUCUUGACAUCCAGAGAACUUAGCAGAGAUGCUUUGGUGCCUUCGGGAACUCUGAGACAGGUGCUGCAUGGCUGUCGUCAGCUCGUGUUGUGAAAUGUUGGGUUAAGUCCCGCAACGAGCGCA